CAAUGCUUUGGUAGAGGUUGCUGUGUUAGUGUUUCCAUGGGUAGUGUUAUGAGCCUAGUGAUAGUUUGACAAGGCUUUGGUGGAGGUUGUUGUGUUAGUGUUUCCAUGGGUAGUGUUAUGAGCCUAGUGAUAGUUUGACAAGGCUUUGGUGGAGGUUGUUGUGUUAGUGUUUCCAUGGGUAGUGUUAUGAGCCUAGUGAUAGUUUGACAAGGCUUUGGUAGAGGUUGUUGUGUUAGUGUUUCCAUGGGUAGUGUUAUGAGCCUAGUGAUAGUUUGACAAGGCUUUGGUAGAGGUUGUUGUGUUAGUGUUUCCAUGGGUAGUGUUAUGAGCCUAGUGAUAGUUUGACAAGGCUUUGGUAGAGGUUGUUGUGUUAGUGUUUCCAUGGGUAGUGUUAUGAGCCUAGUGAUAGUUUGACAAGGCUUUGGUAGAGGUUGUUGUGUUAGUGUUUCCAUGGGUAGUGUUAUGAGCCUAGUGAUAGUUUGACAAGGCUUUGGUAGAGGUUGUUGUGUUAGUGUUUCCAUGGGUAGUGUUAUGAGCCUAGUGAUAGUUUGACAAGGCUUUGGUAGAGGUUGUUGUGUUAGUGUUUCCAUGGGUAGUGUUAUGAGCCUAGUGAUAGUUUGACAAGGCUUUGGUAGAGGUUGUUGUGUUAGUGUUUCCAUGGGUAGUGUUAUGAGCCUGGUGAUAGUUUGACAAGGCUUUGGUAGAGGUUGUUGUGUUAGUGUUUCCAUGGGUAGUGUUAUGAGCCUAGUGAUAGUUUGACAAGGCUUUGGUAGAGGUUGUUGUGUUAGUGUUUCCAUGGGUAGUGUUAUGAGCCUAGUGAUAGUUUGACAAGGCUUUGGUGGAGGUUGUUGUGUUAGUGUUUCCAUGGGUAGUGUUAUGAGCCUAGUGAUAGUUUGACAAGGCUUCUGCACCAUGAACGCGAAAAAACACUCAUGGGAACCCGACUGACCUCCUUGGUGGCCUUGGGAAAGAUGUUUUGAGAGACGAAAGCGCCAAA